AAUUAACCUGGAGAAACCUCAGAUGUGGGGGCUCCCAAGGGAUAAAAAUCAAUAGGUGCUGCAUUCAUAGCUUUCGUUCUAGGGGAAUGGUUGAAUAGGGAAAGAAGAUAGAACCCCAAGCUGAUAAAGAAGAGAGUGAACAAAGUGAAUGGAGCAAAGAAGCGGGGGAGAUUGAAUUCCUUAAGCAAGAACCCUCAUUCGUUCUAUCUUUAAUUGGAACAGAAACGAUAUG
rnacentral:lncRNA from 1 species